rnacentral:tRNA from 2 species
GGGCGGUUAGCUCAGCUGGUUAGAGCGCACGCCUGAUAAGCGUGAGGUCGGUGGUUCAAGUCCACUACCGCCCACCA